rnacentral:rRNA from 1 species
UACGUAGGGUGCGAGCGUUGUCCGGAAUUAUUGGGCGUAAAGAGCUCGUAGGCGGCUCAGUAAGUCAGGUGUGAAAACUCCAGGCUCAACCUGGAGACGCCACCUGAUACUGCUGUGGCUAGAGUCCGGUAGGGGAGCAUGGAAUUCCUGGUGUAGCGGUGAAAUGCGCAGAUAUCAGGAGGAACACCAGUGGCGAAGGCGGUGCUCUGGGCCGGAACUGACGCUGAGGAGCGAAAGCGUGGGGGAGCAAACAGG